GUGACCUCAAAUCAGGUAGGACUACCCGCUGAACUUAAGCAUAUCAAUAAGCGGAGGAAAAGAAACUAACAAGGAUUCCCCUAGUAACUGCGAGUGAAGCGGGAAAAGCUCAAAUUUAAAAUCUGUCAGUCUUUGGCUGUCCGAGUUGUAAUCUAGAGAAGUGUUGUCGGCGCUGGACCGUGUACAAGUCUCCUGGAAUGGAGCGUCAUAGAGGGUGAGAAUCCCGUCUUUGACACGGACUGCCAGGGCUUUGUGAUGCGCUCUCGAAGAGUCGAGUUGUUUGGGAAUGCAGCUCAAAAUGGGUGGUAAAUUCCAUCUAAAGCUAAAUAUUGGCGAGAGACCGAUAGCGAACAAGUACCGUGAGGGAAAGAUGAAAAGAACUUUGGAAAGAGAGUUAAACAGUACGUGAAAUUGCUGAAAGGGAAACGCUUGAAGUCAGUCAUGUUGUCCAGGGAUCAACCUUGCUUUUGCUUGGUGUACUUUCUGGUUGACGGGUCAGCAUCAAUUUUGACCAUUGGAAAAAGAUUGAGGGAAUGUGGCAUUCUUGGAUGUGUUAUAGCCCUUGGUUGCAUACAAUGGUUGAGAUUGAGGAACUCAGCAUGCCGCAAGGCCGGGU
rnacentral:rRNA from 1 species